GUCGAGCGGUAGGCCCUUCGGGUACACGAGCGGCGAACGGGUGAGUAACACGUGGGUGAUCUGCCUCGCACUCUGGGAUAAGCCUGGGAAACUGGGUCUAAUACUGGAUAGGACCAUGCCAUGCAUGUGGUGUGGUGGAAAGAUUUAUCGGUGCGAGAUGGGCCCGCGGCCUAUCAGCUUGUUGGUGGGGUAAUGGCCUACCAAGGCGACGACGGGUAGCCGACCUGAGAGGGUGACCGGCCACACUGGGACUGAGACACGGCCCAGACUCCUACGGGAGGCAGCAGUGGGGAAUAUUGCACAAUGGGCGGAAGCCUGAUGCAGCGACGCCGCGUGAGGGACGACGGCCUUCGGGUUGUAAACCUCUUUCGACAGGGACGAAGCGCAAGUGACGGUACCUGUAUAAGAAGCACCGGCCAACUACGUGCCAGCAGCCGCGGUAAUACGUAGGGUGCGAGCGUUGUCCGGAAUUACUGGGCGUAAAGAGCUUGUAGGCGGUUCGUCGCGUCGAUUGUGAAAACUUGCAGCUCAACUGCAAGCUUGCAGUCGAUACGGGCGGACUAGAGUACUUCAGGGGAGACUGGAAUUCCUGGUGUAGCGGUGAAAUGCGCAGAUAUCAGGAGGAACACCGGUGGCGAAGGCGGGUCUCUGGGAAGUAACUGACGCUGAGAAGCGAAAGCGUGGGUAGCGAACAGGAUUAGAUACCCUGGUAGUCCACGCCGUAAACGGUGGGUACUAGGUGUGGGUUUCCUUCCACGGGAUCCGUGCCGUAGCUAACGCAUUAAGUACCCCGCCUGGGGAGUACGGCCGCAAGGCUAAAACUCAAAGGAAUUGACGGGGGCCCGCACAAGCGGCGGAGCAUGUGGAUUAAUUCGAUGCAACGCGAAGAACCUUACCUGGGUUUGACAUACACCGGAAACCUGCAGAGAUGUAGGCCCCCUUGUGGUCGGUGUACAGGUGGUGCAUGGCUGUCGUCAGCUCGUGUCGUGAGAUGUUGGGUUAAGUCCCGCAACGAGCGCAACCCUUGUCCUGUGUUGCCAGCGCGUUAUGGCGGGGACUCGCAGGAGACUGCCGGGGUCAACUCGGAGGAAGGUGGGGACGACGUCAAGUCAUCAUGCCCCUUAUGUCCAGGGCUUCACACAUGCUACAAUGGCCGGUACAGAGGGCUGCGAGACCGUGAGGUGGAGCGAAUCCCUUAAAGCCGGUCUCAGUUCGGAUCGGGGUCUGCAACUCGACCCCGUGAAGUUGGAGUCGCUAGUAAUCGCAGAUCAGCAACGCUGCGGUGAAUACGUUCCCGGGCCUUGUACACACCGCCCGUCACGUCAUGAAAGUCGGUAACACCCGAAGCCGGUGGCCUAACCC
rnacentral:rRNA from 1 species